rnacentral:rRNA from 1 species
GACAGAGGUGCCAAGCGUUAGGCGGAAUCACUGGGCUUAAAGCGUGUGUAGGCGGGUCGUUAAGUACCUUGUGAAAUCCCCCGGCUCAACCGGGGAACGGCUGGGUAUACUGGCGAUCUUGAGCCACCUAGGGGCAGUCGGAACAAGUGGUGGAGCGGUGAAAUGCGUAGAUAUCACUUGGAACGCCAAUGGUGAAAACAGACUGCUGGGUGUGUGCUGACGCUGAGACACGAAAGCCAGGGGAGCAAACGGG